rnacentral:rRNA from 1 species
GACGAACGCUGGCGGCAGGCCUAACACAUGCAAGUCGAACGAGUGGCGGACGGGUGAGUAAUGCUUGGGAAUCUGGCUGAUGGAGGGGGAUAACUACGGGAAACGGUAGCUAAUACCGCGUACCAUAAGAUGAGCCCAAGUGGGAUUAGGUAGUUGGUGGGGUAAAGGCUCACCAAGCCGACGAUCCCUAGCUGGUCUGAGAGGAUGACCAGCCACACUGGGACUGAGACACGGCCCAGACUCCUACGGGAGGCAGCAGUGGGGAAUAUUGCGCAAUGGGGGCAACCUGACGCAGCCAUGCCGCGUGAAUGAAGAAGGCCUUCGGGUUGUAAAGUUCUUUCAGUAGCGAGGCGUUAACUACAGAAGAAGCACCGGCUAACUCCGUGCCAGCAGCCGCGGUAAUUC